UACAGAGGGUGCAAGCGUUGUUCGGAAUUAUUGGGCGUAAAGGGCGCGUAGGCGGCCAUGCGUGUCUUUCGUGAAAUCCCUCGGCUUAACUGAGGACGUGCGGAAGAAACUGCAAGGCUUGAGUCCGGGAGAGGGGGGUGGAAUUCCCAGUGUAGCGGUGAAAUGCGUAGAUAUUGGGAGGAACACCGGUGGCGAAGGCGGCCCCCUGGACCGGUACUGACGCUGAGGCGCGAAAGCGUGGGUAGCAAACGGG
rnacentral:rRNA from 1 species